UUUUUUUUUUUUUUUUGUUGCAUGAAUUUAUUUCUUUCCAACUUAUGAUGUAAUUAGUCACUGUGUUAUAUAGUUAUUCAUGUAAUAUCAAGUACUGUAUUAUAUGUAAAAAAAAAAAAGAACUAAAAAGUAUUAUUUGUGCUUUCAAUAAUCUUGUUAGAGAAAAAUGGAAAGCUCUGCUUCUAACGAUAAUAGAAAUGGAACACGAAGAAGUAAUCGCUUAAAAAUAUCAUCGAUGAUCAUCAAAAAUUCAACGAAAUAUACACAUAUCGACAAUCAUCCACCAUAGCAGGCCACCAUAAGUUCUUCCGGGAUAACACAUGAGGCUAGUUUUAUAUCUAUAAUAUUAAAUAUUUUAACUAUGCCAAUAAGUUGUUUAACAAAGUGUAGAGUAUUAUAAUUUUUUAUUUAAUAGUAACAUUUUUUUUAUGCAAUA